AUCCAGCUGAUGAGUCCGAAAUAGGACGAACCGCUCGUCCUGGAU
rfam:Schistosoma haematobium scaffold192_8, whole genome shotgun sequence.